CAUUAAUGACCUUCUGUUAAGAUCGCGCACAUCCUGUGCGCAACACAGAAGUCAGCACAACCUGUGCA
rfam:Bacillus sp. FJAT-27997 Scaffold1, whole genome shotgun sequence.